UGAGUAACCUGCCCUUCACUCUGGGAUAACUCCGGGAAACCGGGGCUAAUACUGGAUAUGACUCGAACAGGCAUCUGUUUCGGGUGGAAAGAUUUAUUGGUGGAGGAUGGACUCGCGGCCUAUCAGCUUGUUGGUGAGGUAAUGGCUCACCAAGGCGACGACGGGUAGCCGGCCUGAGAGGGCGAUCGGCCACACUGGGACUGAGACACGGCCCAGACUCUACGGAGCA
rnacentral:rRNA from 1 species